rnacentral:rRNA from 1 species
AAACAUAACCUUUAGCCAAACAAGUAUUAAAGGCAACGCCUGCCCAGUGAAAAUUAAACGGCCGCGGUAUCCUAACCGUGCAAAGGUAGCAUAAUCAUUUGUCUAUUAAUUGUAGACCUGUAUGAAAGGCAAAAUGAGAGCCCAACUGUCUCUUAUAACAAAUCAAUUAAACUGAUCUCCUAGUACAAAAGCUAGAAUACUAACAUAAGACCAGAAGACCCUGUGAAGCUUUAACUAACCUAUUAAACCCAAUAAUAACUACUUUCGGUUGGGGCGACCUUGGAAUAAAAAAGAACUUCCAACAUAUGACUCCCUCAUAAAACAAGGCCAACAAGCCAACACUAGACCCAGUAUAACUGAUAAUUGAAAUAAGUUACUCCAGGGAUAACAGCGCUAUCUUCUUUAAGAGCCCAUAUCAAAAAGAAGGUUUACGACCUCGAUGUUGGAUCAGGACACCCCAGUAAUGCAGCCGUUACUAAAGGUUCGUUUGUUCAACGAUUAACAGUCCCACGUGAUCU